CAGGGAAGACCUUGUGCCUCUCACCCUGGACUCAGAUUCUGACAAUCGUGCUUAUUUUUCUCUAUUUUUGGAAUCGUAGUACCAGUUGAGCACCACUGAGAGGCGGUGGAGACCUCAAGGGGUGGAACCAUCAGGUCUAGGCCGCUGGGGGACUGCAGGAUCAGCUCUUUCUCCCUUUCUGGCUGUGCUGCUGCCAUAAUGUGCGCCUUGACGAAGCCUAACAGCAACAGCCUCAACCUGUCAUGGACCGAGACUUCCUUCCAGACAGGUGGGCCGAGCGCCUCUCCUCUGCAUAAGUCUGUUAUCCUAGGGCUUGGUUAGCAGGGCCGGGAGCUAGCGCGCAGACCAAAGCAACGGAAGCAGAGAGGGACGUCACGGAGGUUUCCAAAGUUUUGUUCAUUUCCGUUUAACUCACUUUCUUGUCUGUGUCACGAUCUUCCUGAAAAAUGCGCCUUGGGGACGAGGAGUCCUUUGUGACUCUCACCAGCCAGAUUUUCGGGGGAUUCGCCCGCAGACGAGAGGCCGGGGAGCGCAACACGAACCUUAGCGUUUCCCAAAGAUGUUACUUCAAGGCUGCUCGUGAGAGGCACUUGCUCCUUAACAACUGCGGAGGGCGGACGCGGCGGUGCUGCGCUGGGACAGUUUCUUUAUAGGGUCCACAUCUCGCGAGAACCCACGAGAAGACCACGUGAGGUCCCGAGAGGCCCUGCUGUGUUGAUCCUGGAAUCCCGCCAUGCUUCUCUUCCCACCUCGCCCAAGCCACGCCCUAUGUCCUACCUCAGUGGUGCUAACCGAGCUGCUUAUCCCACUGACUCAGGAUGAAGUGUGUUUUCACCCAAAGCUUUCAUUCCCCAUUUGAG
rnacentral:lncRNA from 1 species